UACGAAGGGGGCUAGCGUUGCUCGGAAUCACUGGGCGUAAAGGGUGCGUAGGCGGGUUUUUAAGUCAGAGGUGAAAUCCUGGAGCUCAACUCCGGAACUGCCUUUAAGACUGCAUCGCUAGAAUUGUGGAGAGGUGAGUGGAAUUCCGAGUGUAGAGGUGAAAUUCGUAGAUAUUCGGAAGAACACCAGUGGCGAAGGCGACUCACUGGACACAUAUUGACGCUGAGGUGCGAAAGCGUGGGGAGCAAACAGG
rnacentral:rRNA from 1 species